GAUGAACGCUGGCGGCGUGCCUAAUACAUGCAAGUAGAACGGUGAAGGAGGAGCUUGCUCUUCUGGAUGAGUUGCGAACGGGUGAGUAACGCGUAGGUAACCUGCCUGGUAGCGGGGGAUAACUAUUGGAAACGAUAGCUAAUACCGCAUGACAACAGUUAUUGCAUGAUAACUGUUUAAAAGGGGCAACUGCUCCACUACCAGAUGGACCUGCGUUGGAUUAGCUAGGUGGUGAGGUAACGGCUCACCAAGGCGACGAUACGGAGCCGCCCGGAGAGGGUGAUCGGCCACACUGGGACGGAGACACGGCCCAGACUCCUACGGGAGGCAGCAGUAGGGAAUCUUCGGCAAGGGACGGAAGUCUGACCGAGCAACGCCGCGUGAGUGAAGAAGGUUGUCGGAUCGUAAAGCUCGGUUGCAAGAGAAGAACGAGUGUGAGAGUGGAAAGUUCACACUGUGACGGUAUCUUACCAGAAAGGGACGGCUAACUACGUG
rnacentral:rRNA from 1 species